rnacentral:rRNA from 1 species
UGACCUCGGAUCAGGUAGGGCAUACCCGCUGAACUUAAGCAUAUCAAUAAGCGGAGGAAAAGAAACCAACCGGGAUUGCCCUAGUAACGGCGAGUGAAGCGGCAAGAGCUCAAAUUUGAAAGCUGGCUCCUUCGGGGUCCGCAUUGUAAUUUGCAGAGGAUGCUUCGGAAUCGGCCCCCAUCUAAGUGCCCUGGAACGGGCCGUCAUAGAGGGUGAGAAUCCCGUCUGGGAUGGGGUGUCCGUGCCCGUGUGAAGCUCCUUCGACGAGUCGAGUUGUUUGGGAAUGCAGCUCUAAUUGGGUGGUAAAUUUCAUCUAAAGCUAAAUAUUGGCCGGAGACCGAUAGCGCACAAGUAGAGUGAUCGAAAGAUGAAAAGCACUUUGAAAAGAGAGUUAAAAAGCACGUGAAAUUGUUGAAAGGGAAGCGCUUGCGACCAGACUCGCCCGCGGGGUUCAGCCGGCAUUCGUGCCGGUGUACUUCCCCGCGGGCGGGCCAGCGUCGGUUUGGGCGGCCGGUCAAAGGCCCCUGGAAUGUAACGCCUCUCGGGGCGUCUUAUAGCCAGGGGUGCCAUGCGGCCUGCCCGGACCGAGGAACGCGCUUCGGCUCGGACGCUGGCAUAAUGGUCGUAAGCGACC